rnacentral:lncRNA from 1 species
AGGGGCCCUGGGACCUGGCGCCAGCUUCCUUGCCUGGCCAGCUGCCUUUGCACACUGCAGGUGGCCAGAAUUUCCUGGAUCCCCAGGGAAAAAGGAGCAUGUUGGAAGAGACCAUGCAGUAGAAGUCUCCUCAUCACAGGUCACAUUCCUAGAGGGAGGAGAUUUCCCUUUGGUGAAAUGUUUUUUCUGUUUAUACCGUUGCUGAACGAACGGAACCUUACACUGUAUGAAGCUGUUUUCAUGCAUUAUUACACUUGCGUCAGGUAGGAUGAUGCUGGUGCCAUCAGAGGUCCAGGGUUUUCUAUUCACUUGAGGUCCAGUCUUAGUGUCUUUCUUUUGUCCUCAUGCUGAACUCUUCCAUUGCAAGAUGGACACUCAAGUUCAUGAAACAUCCUGACUGGGUUCAGAC